rnacentral:piRNA from 1 species
UACAAAGGAGAGAAAGGACAACCCCUCGC